UGCAGCAACGCCGCGUGAGGGAUGACGGCCUUCGGGUUGUAAACCUCUUUUAGUAGGGAAGAAGCGAAAGUGACGGUACCUGCAGAAAAAGCACCGGCUAACUACGUGCCAGCAGCCGCGGUAAUACGUAGGGUGCAAGCGUUGUCCGGAAUUAUUGGGCGUAAAGAGCUCGUAGGCGGUUUGUCGCGUCUGCUGUGAAAUCUGGGGGCUCAACCCCCAGCCUGCAGUGGGUACGGGCAGACUAGAGUGCGGUAGGGGAGAUUGGAAUUCCUGGUGUAGCGGUGGAAUGCGCAGAUAUCAGGAGGAACACCGAUGGCGAAGGCAGAUCUCUGGGCCGUAACUGACGCUGAGGAGCGAAAGCAUGGGGAGCGAACAGGAUUAGAUACCCUGGUAGUCCAUGCCGUAAACGUUGGGAACUAGAUGUGGGGGCCAUUCCACGGUCUCCGUGUCGCAGCUAACGCAUUAAGUUCCCCGCCUGGGGAGUACGGCCGCAAGGCUAAAACUCAAAGGAAUUGACGGGGGCCCGCACAAGCGGCGGAGCAUGCGGAUUAAUUCGAUGCAACGCGAAGAACCUUACCAAGGCUUGACAUAUACCGGAAACGUCCAGAGAUGGUCGCCCCGCAGGUC
rnacentral:rRNA from 2 species